UCAGCUGUCAUGAUGCCUUUUUUAGUAAAAUUAGAAUACAGAAAGUCAUUAAGACAGCUGUUA
rnacentral:pre_miRNA from 1 species